AGGGCAAAAAGCCAGAGAACGAAGGUUGAAGGAAGGAGAAGCUUGGAGCUCGGAAGCUGCCGGAUUAACUCAGGUAACAAGCAGUGAGUUGAGUAGAAGCUAAUGCUUGGAGUCUAGAGUAGUUUCUUAUGGGUCAUGCUCUGAUAGAUGUAACAUCGGGAGGGGAUGUUUUAACUAAUUUGAUAUUGAUUGUUGAAUGAAUUACAUGUAUUGUGUUACAUGUUUUACAUUGAUGUUGAAUUUAUUCCGCUGCGAUUUAUGCAAAGAAUCUUAUUUUGAUUAAUUAAAUGAGCAUGACAGGAU